AUCUUCUGCAGGUACUUUAUACCAACUCAGUGUUUGUCUUUCAUAGAGGGACUGCAUCGGCACACCGAAAGAAGAAUUUGUCCACAGGCGUGGGGAAACUGCUAGAAGUGUGCCAGGCCAAUACAACUCAGACUUUUCACGGCCACCGGUGAUGAGUGGAGGGAAGGCACCUUUUACUCCUGGUCUAACAUCAGACAUGCUUAGGAAUGUAUUUAAGAAACAGACACAUGUACUUGUGCCAUGACUUGUUUUUUGAGGGUGAUGGCAAGAGGCUGACUGUAGAAACAAAUGAACCAAUGUGUGGGCUGCAGUCUGUGGUGUGCUACACUUACGAUAGAAAUGUAGUCAUCUGAAAGUUUAAUCCAAAAUUAACAUAUGACUUCAACGUGUCAGUUUCAACAGAUACUCUCGAUGCAGGGCUCCUUGUUCUUUUAAAAAUUCUGUCCAUUUAUGAGGGGAAAAAACAAUAAAUAACAGACAUAAAUAUUGCAACAUUUUCCCUCCCAAGCCAAUUUAAGGGUGGAAUUAAAUGUGCACCACACACUUGACAAUUCCUCUGCCCUAAGGGGGUGGGGGCCACACCCUCGGGUCUUCCGCAGGCCAAGUCAGCUGCGCUCCCUCCUAGGUGACCUCCCUUCAGCCCCGCAGACUCUGAUCAUGAGGCAACCCAGUGAUGCCGAAAAUAAGUCCUAAUGCUUCGGUUAGAAGUCGUCCUUAGGAGGAGAGUUAGUAAAGGAAAGAGACCAAAAUGCAGAGUCUUUAACGCUUUCGUUAUUCGUUCUUAAACAUACAUCGUACCAAUUUUGGCCUGCUCUUCUCUUUUACGUAUACAUGCACGUGCAUACCCAUAAAAUUAUUUGCCCCAACAAAAACCAGAGGAAACGUUAAAAAGAUUUCUGAAGGAAGAAGU